AAUCAAUUCGCUUCCUGGUUGCGGCUUCAGAAUAUUUUUUGAAUGCAGUCUACGGAUGAAAAGUUGGAAUUUAUAGUUGAAGUAUGAAUCGUGAGGAUUUAGAUGAUACAUAUGAUCUUCUGUCUCCAGUACGUAGGGGAGAAGGUGCGUACUCCGACUCAUUUGAAAGUUCUGACAACGAAUCUAGUCCACAAUUUCGAUCGUCAGUAAGUUUUAAAUCACCUUCCAACUCAUUCAAGUCAUCAUCAUUCACAGCAUCUUCGAAGAUUCCACCACCUAAGUAUGCAUCAACUACGAGAUAUCAACAAGACAAACCCAAAAAUCUUGUCCCGUCGUCAGCGCCAGGCCCUCAUCUUCUCCACCGAAAACGGAACGAAGAAUUCGACGAACUUCGCCAUUGAAGGAUCGUAAUUCUCAUGACAACACUAUUGAAUUAAUGAAAAUGCCACAAGAUGGUGACAAAAAAGAUUUGAGUGUUUGGGAAGAUUGGUUGAUCAAAAAGUUCCAACAGGAGAGAGAAGACAUAAAAAUACAGAGACAAGUUGAAAAAGAAGAAAAAGAAAGAGAGGAAAGAAAGAAUGGAAAAGGAAGAUUUAAAGAAAAGAGCUGAAUUAAACAUCAGCAGUGGUGUGAAGAAAAGUUAUUGAAGAUGAAGUUGCAGACGAAAAUUGAGAAGCGUGAACAAAUGUUGAAGGAAGAAAUGAAAAUACAAGAAAAACGAGAAAUUGAGAGAAAAUCGAAACAAGCGUACGAGAGAUGGGUGGAAAAGAGAAAUGAAAUUGAAAAAGAGCAAAAAGAGAAGGUAAG